GGCCGCCUGGCGAAAUGGCAUCGCGUCUGACUACGAUAUCCGGAGAUCUCUCUGAUCGUCAUCAGGAGAUUGCAGGUUCGACCCCUGCGGUGGUCA